UACAGAGGGGGCAAGCGUUGUUCGGAAUUACUGGGCGUAAAGGGCGCGUAGGCGGCCGUCUAAGUCGAACGUGAAAUCCCCGGGCUCAACCCGGGAACUGCGUCCGAGACUGGAAGGCUCGAAUCCGGGAGAGGGAUGUGGAAUCCCAGGUGUAGCGGUGAAAUGCGUAGAUAUCUGGAGGAACAUCGGUGGCGAAGGCGGCAUCCUGGACCGGUAUUGACGCUGAGGCGCGAAAGCCAGGGGAGCAAACGGG
rnacentral:rRNA from 1 species